UUUUUUGAGAGUUUGAUCCUAGCUCAGGAUGAACGCUGGCGGCGUGUUUUAGGCAUGCAAGUCGAGCGAAUAGACCCCUUCGGGGGUGGAAAAGCGGCAGACGGCUUAGUAACGCGUGGGAAUCUGCCCUAUGGUUAAGGAUAGCCUCGCGAAAGUGAGGGUAAUCCUGGAUAAGUUCCGAGGGUAACUGAGGAAGAAAGGGUGUAACAACCCGCCGUAGGAGGAGCCUGCGUCUUAUCAGGUAGUUGGUGGGGU
rnacentral:rRNA from 1 species